UGAGAACAAUCUGGCUAAUGAGGUUAAAC
rnacentral:piRNA from 1 species